GGAAGAGGAGGAGAGAGAGAGAGAGAGAGAGAGAGACAGAAGGAAGGAAAACAAAUAAACGCAGCAGGACGCGACUCAACGAGUCAGAAGCUGUCUUCCUGGUGAAGCCCAUAUGAUAUGGCUGCAAGCAGAACUCCUCCGUCUGUGAUUGGUCAUCGAGGGUAAGACGCUGUGAUAGGCCGAGAAGUCCAAACAUGGACCCACACCAUCCUGGGGUUACCGACGGUCCUCAGCUCUACGAUCUGUGACCUCUGACCCCUGGCUCAGGACUGACCUCCUAUCAGGAGGCCCCGCCUCUUCGGGCGAUGAUGUCAGUAGACGUGGCCAAUAGGAACGGCCCUGCCGUGACACCUCCCGCCUCCCUCAGCCUUCGCUCCUCCCACGGCCGUGAUGUCAGAGGCGAUGACGUCGCCGGGCAGGGG